GACGAACCGUGCGAACGUUAUUCGGAAUCACUGGGCUUAAAGGGCGCGUAGGCGGGCGGCCGAGUCCGGGGUGAAAGCCCCCAGCUCAACUGGGGAAGUGCCUCGGAUACCGGCCGUCUCGAGGGAGAUAGGGGCGUGCGGGAACUUCCGGUGGAGCGGUGAAAUGCGUAGAUAUCGGAAGGAACACCGGUGGCGAAAGCGGCGCGCUGGGUCUCUUCUGACGCUGAGGCGCGAAAGCCCAGGGGAGCGAACGGG
rnacentral:rRNA from 1 species